UGACCCCAAGUGCUAUUCAAGAGCAGCUAAUGUUCUAUGCUAAACGUCUCCAGCCCCAGCACAUUCUGACAAAUCUGAACUUUUAACCUCUACCCCAAUAUUUGAUCUCUUAUCUACCCAAAGGGAUGGAAAAUCUAUGGAGACCAUGCAUACGGAUGUUUAUAACAGAUUUGUGCACAAUUUAUUCUAACAUAUUGAAGCAACCAGAUUAUCCUUCAGUGUGUGGACAGUCAAACCAAAUUAACCUAUACAAUGAAAAUUUUAUUUAGCACUAAAAAGAAAUGGACUCUCAAGACAUAAAAAGAUGAGGAAAAAUAAAUGCAUAACACAAAAGGGAAAGGCAAAAGGCAAGCUGGAGUCUGAUUAUUUGAAGUUAACUGCAGAAAAAGCUAUGAAGAUAGUAUCAAUAUCAGAACUUCAGGAGCUGUGAAGAGUAGAGCUCAGGAGGGUUUGAAGACACUAAUAUUAUCUGACACUGUGCAAAGCUGAAUACAUGUAGUGACAUGUUUGUGAAGACUCAUAUUGCACAUAACCAGGAGAGAUAAGAAGUGUAUGUUAUAGUCUUAGGUCAUUAUUGAUGAAGGUCCAUCAGUUCUGACAAAGUAGCACUCUAGCAGAGAUGUGUCUCAUGGCCUUGGGCACCUGAGCAGGUGGGAAAAAUACAGAAAUUUUAGUGUAUUUCAUUCUGGUUUACUAUGAAACUGGAAAGGCUCUUAAAAACAAUUCCAUCUUUAAAAGCAUUGUCAGUUAGAAAGUUUGAAGAUGAGAUUUAAAUGUUAAGUGGGAUUUAGCACAGAAUGUCUUUUGUUUUGUUUUAAAUUUUAAUUGGGAAUUUAGGUAUAAACGGGACAGGGGGAUAUUUUACUUUAAAAGUGUCAAAAUGUGCCAAAAUGUGCCAAAGUGCUAUAAUUUCUGAGUUUGUUUUUGUAAAAGUUUAUUCUCUGCACAUGUCUGUGCUUAUGUCAGUAUCCAAGGAGGCCAAGGGAUGGUGUUGGUACACUGGAAUUGGAGUUACAGGCCAUUACAAGCUGCCCAGUUUGGCUACUGUGAGCUGAAUAUGGAUUGUCAACAAACACAAGAUGGGAGACUUCACUUGAAAUCCUUAAAGGGAGACCUUGUGGAUUCUUCACUUCCUAUUAAUGACCUGCUGGUCCAUCUCACUAUCUGAUUUCCAUCCAGAAGUGAUGACAUAGUCCUGCCUUUGUUCCUGACACUGCCAUCUACUGUAACAAGACAAAGUUGAGAUCAUUCUCAUGAGAACUGACCCAAUGCCUGUGCUCUGCCCUGCAACCUCCUGAAGUGAGGCCAGAAAUCAACAGGAUUUAAUCACAGUUGGCAGCCUUCCCUUUGGCACAGAAGAGAACAUUCAUUGACAGCCAAUGUGGUGGUUCUCGGGAUUCAGCCAAGUUGCAGGUCUGCAGAGAAGGAGCCAAAUGCUGCUUGGCAUCAUAAGAGGGCAAUCUGUUGUCAUAAAGGACAAAGCACAAAUCUAAGCUCAAAAAAGUUGCCCUUUCCCCAUCACCAGACUGGCUGUAUUUUCUCAGAGGAAAAUGAAUAUCUGUCUUUGGAGGAGGGAUGUACUUUGCAGGGAUUCAAUCAGAAGAACCUGCUCUCAAGGGGGAGCAGGACCAGGUGAUAAUGAGACUGGCAUUCAUUCAUCCUGCUAGGAAGAAAGCCAGUCGCCUUCCCUUGCCAGCUUCUCUCUACUGCAGAAGUCAGCAAGCUGUGGCUCAGCUGGUCAAGACCAGCCCACCUACUCUAUUAUUUGUGUGACCCACAGGUAAAAAAAAUGGUUUUUAUAUUUUAAAUGUUACAAAAAGUGUUUUCUUGUAGAAUAAUAUUGUGGGGUUUAGAAAGAUGGCUCAGUAGAUAAACUGUAAACAUUAGAACUUGAGUUCAGAUAGACAGAUCCACAGAAAAGCUAGGCAGGUAUGGCAGUUGCUUCUAAGCUUAACACUCAGGAAGCACAGCAGGACAAGCUGGCUAGCUAGAAUGAUUGGAACUGGAGAGCUCCUAGCACAGUGAGAGACCCUGCCUGGAUACACAAGGUAGAAAAUAAUUGAGGAAGACAUCAACCUUGGGUCUCUUCCACAGGCAUAUGAACAGACAUGCUUCCUGUUGGACAGAAAAAGGAAAAAGAAGAGAUGAUGUAAUUAUACUGUAAUAUCAACAAAUAGAUAAUUGAAAAAAAGAAAGUUUCUCCCAUCAUAGUAUUUCAAAGGAAAAGACCCCUCCCUCACAAAAGGAGAUGAGGAGGAGGACCCGGCAUCAGUACCAGUGUUGAAUUCAUGGAUGAGCCAAGAUUGUCAGGACUCCCUCCCAUUCCAUUCCUGGAUCUUAUUCCUCCACGAAUAAGGGCAACCUGCUGAGUCUGGAUCAUGAUACUUGUGUGUAUAUUUCAGGGCUUACCAUUUGAUAUAUAACUGAUUGUUCUUCCCUAGAGAAGACUAUGGGGAGAAACUUUUUUCUUUUCCAAGGAGCAAUUUAUCUCAGGUCUUCCACGAUCCUCAUUUAUCUAAAAAUUUUCUAUAUCUAGAACUCACGGCCUCUGAGUCACUGAGAAAUUAUCCCUCAUUCUCAUGUGCUAGCCAAGGUCAGUGUCUAAUUAGGGUUUUACUGUAUGAGCAGACACUAUGAGCAAGGCAACUCUUAUAAUGGACAACAUUUAAUUGGGACUGAUUUAGAGGUUUGGUCCAGUAUCAUCAAGGCAGGAACAUGGCAGCAUCCAGACCUGCAUGGUGCAGGAGGAGCUGAGAGUUCUACAUCUUCAUAUGAAGACCACUAGGAGAAGACUGGCUUCCAGGCAACUUGGAUGAGGGUUUUAAAGCCCACCUCCAUAGUGACACACCUACUCCAACAAGGCCACCUUUCCAAAUAAUGCCACUCCCUGGGCCAAGCAUAUUCAAACCAUAGCAAUCAGCAUGCCUCACCUGCCCUUCCAUGCUCUCCAAUACUACUAGAUAAGCCAAAAGAGGCACAAGAUUUUCUCUUCUGAAAUGUUUCCCUCAAUCUGGAAUCUGUGUUUUGGGUUUCAGUUACUGUGACAAAGCAUCAUGUUCAAAAAGGCAAGUUGGGGAGAAAGAGGUUUAUUUUACCUUGCAAUCUUAUGUUACAGCCCAAUCACUGAGGGAAAUCAGGACAGGAGCUCAAGACAGUAACCUGGAAACAAGAACUAGAGCAAACGUCAUGGAGGAAUAUUGUUUAUUGUCUUGAUCCUUAUGGCUUGUGCUCUUAUAGCAAGGGUUACUGUGUCCAUGUGGGCUGGGCCUUCAUAUAACAGCCAUUAAUAAAAAAUGCCCCCAUAGACUUUUCCACAAGACAACCUACUUGGGCAUCUUCUUAGUUAAGGAUUCCUCUUCCCAAAUGUCUAUAGAUUGUGUCAAGUUGAUUCUACCCAAGGAGAGUUCCUUCUACCUUCUAGAAAACUCAUCUUUCAGAAACAAGUCCUGGUCUAGAUCCAGGAUCUUGCCCCCUGUUUUUUCCUCUGACCAAAAUGAACUCUUUCCUGAGUCAGAGAAUUAAGUCUGUCUUACUGUAUGGUAGAGAAGGAAUUAGAGCAGCCUAACUGAGUUUUCUGUGAAAUCUUAGACCAUGAAGACAGUGUGGAUGACUUCAGAGCUCUAAGUCUCAAAUCAAAUUGCAGGGUCCUUGUUACAGAUUGAAUAUUUUGCCUCCCUCUGCCCCAACCUCAUAUAUUGAACUGAAAGUACCAGUGUGAUGGCAUUAGAAGCCUAAGGGUCUCUGUAAGAGAGUGAUUAGGUUAGAAUGUGAUCAUGAAAAUAGAAGUCUCAGGAUGAGAUUAGAGAAGAGGAAAAGAUGUCUAGUGAUUGAUGGAUAGAUAAUAAAUAACAAAUACAUACAUAUUAUAUAUAUACAUAUAUAUAUAUGGUAUAUAGAUUUGCAUUACAUCUGUAUAUUAUAUGUGUAUAUAUACAUAUAUAUACAUAGACAUAUAUUCUCUACAUUAUAUCCACAUGGAAUUUAGAUACACACACAUACACAAACACAUUCAGACACAAACACAAACCAAGCAAAGGCCACAUAAAUACAAGUAAGACAAGAGCCUUCAGAAUCCAGAGAGACAGAGCUGUCACCAGGACCCAGUCAUCCUGGCACCUUGCUAUCAGAGUUUGCAUCUUCAAAUAUGUGAUCAAGUAAAUUUUAUUAUUUGAGAUACCUACUCUACUUUUUUUUUUAGCAAUUAAAGCAGAAUAAGACAAAAGUUGACACUAAUAUGUGGGUUAUGACAAAAACCUAUGAGUGGAAAUUGUAAGAAACUAACCUCUAUGUGAGUGGCUAAAUUUUGAGGUGCAUGUGUGAAAAGGAUGUUUGUCAUGAGGGAUAUUUUAGGAGAUUCAUGGAGAGCUGAAGAAAAUGUUCUGCCAUCUUAGACAAUGCAAACAUCAUCACAACCACAACAUUUUUAAAAACAGAGACAAUAAAGCCAGGUCCACGAGAAAAAUAACUACCUAAAAGCAUGUAUGUACCUGAGCCAAAAGAAGCCAAUAAUAUCUUAUGUCAUAGAUGUAUAUAUACUGUAUAUAAUGACAACCUCACAAAUAUUUCUUUGAGGAUCUGGGGAGGUGUUUUUUUGACUUAAGUGUUGCUUCACAUGUAUGAGGAUUUGGGCUCUACUCUCAACACCCAUAUUAAAAUAAUAAAAAUCCAGGCACUUAUAAGUCCAGCCCUGGAAAGCAGAGACAUGGAGACAGCUAACAACAUAGCCUGGAUGAACAACUGAUAUCCACAUUCAUGGAGAGAACGUUUGUCACAAAACAGUGAUUGAGAAAAAAAUCUCACAUCUACUCUAGCACCUGCCACAAGCCCCUCACACAAAUGACUUUGAGUUGCAAAAUAAAUGGUUCAUGAAUAAAACCAAAAAAAAAAUCUACAGUUUUUCCAAUGAAUUAUUUAUUGUUUUUAGUCCUUUAAUCAUAGCUGUUGAGUUAAUUUUCUUGAGGUUAUCAGAAAUCCAGUGUGUGAACUUUCUUUCUCUGUCCUCCUUAGGGCAGACUAACCUUGCUUCUGUCUAACUAUAGAGAAUAGUAACGAAUAACUAUUAUUAAUGGGCUUUUGAAAUUCUCAUUUGAAGCCACAAUGUAGGGGAAUAUUAUUUAUGAGUCUUCUUGUUAUCACUGAUGACCUCCAUCAGAACUUGAACUCAAUAAAAGAUUGGUCUCUUGUAGAUAACAGAGUUCUAUAGGAGAAGUCAAAUGAUUUAAAAUAACCCAAGCAAACUAGUUUCAGACAAAAUGGUCAUUUCACAUUGGCCUGCUCCUAUGAGUUCUGCAGGUUUAUGGGCACUGAAGCUGUAAUACAGUUUCUCUGUGUUUCCUCACCUUUCUGUUUGUACAACAUCUUCUAAUUAUGUACUGGUACAUAUUUUUCUUCAUUCAUUAUCAUCUUUAAAUUUAAUUGAAAAGUAAUAUCCUCAAAAUUUGUAAAUGGUCUUUUGCCAGUAUUUAUGAACAGUAAAGCAAUUUCUUGGCUCUCA